CUCCACCCACCCCGAAAUAAUCUGAUUGCUGUGAGUUGUAUUUGUUACAUAAAAGCCGGCUCUUCCAUCUAUUGCCAGAGAGCCAGUGCUGGAAACAUGAAUGGCGUCUGCUGGGAUACAUUGUGUCGCAUUGUAAAAGCCCCCACUGGGCAGCAGUUGUAAGACGGCGGGUGCACGGAACGCUGAUAAAGGACAGGCAUGUUCCAGGAUGGCGUCAC